CGGUUAAACUAGCAGACCCAGUUAUAUUACCAAGGUAAAAAGGUGGUUAAAUACUAUUAAAUUAUAGCCUUCUAAUCUCCUAUACAAAAGUGAAAUUUGAACAUAGACUAAUAAACCAAAAAUGGCUACAAUGAAUCGAAUCCACUAUAUCUUUGAGGGAAACUGGGAUCGGAUACCCCACUAUCUUAGCUGUAAAUAGAUUAUAAAUUUACCAGAGUACUAUGAACAAUACAAUUUAAAACUCAAAGAGCUUGGCGGUGUUUUAGACCACUUAGGGGAACCUGUUUCAUAAUCGAUGAUCCACGAUACACCUAACCUUUUAUUGCAAAAAUUACAGCCUGUACACCGUUGUCAUCGGUUAACUUUUUAGAAAAACUUAGUUAGCAAGAAAAUUUAUAAUUAAUUUAUAUGUCAAAUCAAGGUGCAGCUAAUGAAAAGGAGAAGAUGGGUUACAAUUAACAUUUAUAAGACGGACCGGACAAUGAAAUUUAUCCAUAAAGGAGGACUUAAAAGUAAAGCUAUAUAUAAAAAUAACUUGAAUCUGGCUCUGAAAUGUGUACUAAUUGCCC
rnacentral:rRNA from 1 species